rnacentral:rRNA from 1 species
GGAAGCCAAUCUCAGUUCGGAUUGUAGGCUGCAACUCGCCUACAUGAAGUUGGAAUCGCUAGUAAUCGCGAAUCAGAAUGUCGCGGUGAAUACGUUCCCGGGUCUUGUACACACCGCCCGUCACACCACGAGAGUUUACAACACCCGAAGUCAGUGGCCUAACCGCAAGGAGGGAGCUGCCUAAGGUGGGGUAGAUGAUUGGGGUGAAGUCGUAACAAGGUACC